rnacentral:rRNA from 1 species
AGUGAACGCUGGCGGUAGGCCUAACACAUGCAAGUCGAACGGCAGCACAGUAAGAGCUUGCUCUUACGGGUGGCGAGUGGCGGACGGGUGAGGAAUACAUCGGAAUCUACUUUUUCGUGGGGGAUAACGUAGGGAAACUUACGCUAAUACCGCAUACGACCUACGGGUGAAAGCAGGGGAUCUUCGGACCUUGCGCGAUUGAAUGAGCCGAUGUCGGAUUAGCUAGUUGGCGGGGUAAAGGCCCACCAAGGCGACGAUCCGUAGCUGGUCUGAGAGGAUGAUCAGCCACACUGGAACUGAGACACGGUCCAGACUCCUACGGGAGGCAGCAGUGGGGAAUAUUGGACAGUGGGCGCAAGCCUGAUCCAGCCAUACCGCGUGGGUGAAGAAGGCCUUCGGGUUGUAAAGCCCUUUUGUUGGGAUAGAAAAGCAGCAGGUUAAUACCCCGCUGUUCUGACGGUACCCAAAGAAUAAGCACCGGCUAACUUCGU